UGGGGAAUCUUGCGCAAUGCGCGAAAGCGUGACGCAGCAACGCCGCGUGGGGGAAGAAGGCCUUCGGGUUGUAAACCCCUUUCAGUUGGGACGAAGCUUCGCGGGUUAAUAGCCCGCUGGAGUGACGGUACCUUCAGAAGAAGCUCCGGCUAACUACGUGCCAGCAGCCGCGGUAAUACGUAGGGGGCUAGCGUUGUCCGGAAUCAUUGGGCGUAAAGCGCGUGUAGGCGGUCCGGUAAGUCCGCUGUGAAAGUCGGGGGCUCAACCCUCGGAUGCCGGUGGAUACUGUCGGGCUUGAGUACGGAAGAGGCGAGUGGAAUUCCUGGUGUAGCGGUGAAAUGCGCAGAUAUCAGGAGGAACACCAAUUGCGAAGGCAGCUCGCUGGGACGUUACUGACGCUGAGACGCGAAAGCGUGGGGAGCAAACA
rnacentral:rRNA from 1 species